ACGAGCAUAGCUCAGUCGGUCCUGAGCAUUCCGGCAGACUCGCCGGAAGGGUCGGGGGUUCGAAUCCCUCUGCUCCCA
rnacentral:tRNA from 1 species